GCGACGUUGAAUCACCGAUUCUCAUAAUAUACACUGAAGUUAAGCAACGUCGAGCUAGGUCAGUACUUCGAUGGGUGAGCGCAUAGAAAUACUAAGUGCUGUAAG